AUGUUCGGCAAUUGGUUGAGGGGAAUAGAUAAACAAUUGUCUAAGCACAUUCUUGCAGGGGCGGCUGCCUUAUGUUGGGCGUUGUGGCUCAUCAGGAAUGAUAUUGUUUUUAAUCAUAAAAGUGUUUCAUCUCCUAUGCAGGUAAUUCAUAUAUGCUCGCGAUGGCUCCGUAUGUGGUCUAUCCUGCAGAAGCCGGAGGACAGAGACUUUUUUAUGAUGGCUUCUACCCGGUUGGAGUGCUCGGCCAGGGACAUUUUUUACCCCCAUGGAUGGCGGUGUGACCUUCGGAUUGGACCGGCAUCACCUUAG
rnacentral:rRNA from 1 species